AUUCUCAGCAAAAACAAAGGAAUUAAAAUUUCUCACUCUGCACAAAACAUUGUACGCUCGGGACGCUCACUCUCCAUAGCUCUUUCUCUCCCUCUCAACACACCUUGGCAUCACAAGCUACCACCUCUAUUGACAAUAAGGCCAGGCCUUUUCAAAAAUUCUGUACUAGCAGAAGAAAUCAUGUUUUGGCUGCACAAAACUCUAUUUUAAGAGUGAAAUCAUAGGAUCAAUGAGGCAAUAAGGCAUUAGUUCCAAAAUCAGAAGUGCCUCAUCAUGAAUGCCAAUGAAUAUAAAUUACUCUUUGAACUUUUUCUGCAGAAAAUACAAAUGUGGAGAAACUCAAGCAUAAUCUCAUACGGUUAGGCACCGUAGUAACAGUAUCUCAAAAGUAGUAGUACUCUCUCUUGUUCUAGUUUUAGUUUUUCAUUGUAAUUGCCGAGUAGCUUCUAGUUAAAGUUGCAGAUAAAAUAAAAUUGUUGGUGAUCAAUAGCCAAUGAUUAUAUGUACUCCACUUUAGUUAGUAUUUAUUUAUUUUAUAUGUAC